UUGAAUGGAAUGAAUCAAAACAUGGCAUGAAUGUUCCUUAUGAGGUGCUGACCAAGUGUUGUUACUUUGUUGCCGAUCCAUCAUCCAAGAUGGCCGCCAGCCGGGGACUUAGUUUAACAUAGGACCCUAUGGGAAAUGCAUACAAAUGACUUCUUUUAGAGAACCACUGAAUGGAAUAAAACCAAACAUAGCAUGAAUUAUCCUUAUGGGGUGCUGACCAAGUGUUGUUACUUUGUAGCCGAUCCAUCAUCCAAGAUGGCCGCCAGCGGGGGACUUGGUUUAACAUAGGACCCUAUGGGAAAUGCAUACAAAUGACUUCUU
rnacentral:lncRNA from 1 species